AGAGUUUGAUCCUGGCUCAGGACGAACGCUGGCGGCACGCUUAACACAUGCAAGUCGAACGAGAGAAGAGGAGCUUGCUCUUCUGAUCUAGUGGCGGACGGGUGAGUAACACGUGAGCAAUCUGCCUUUCAGAGGGGGAUACCGAUUGGAAACGAUCGUUAAUACCGCAUAACAUAAUUGAACCGCAUGAUUUGAUUAUCAAAGAUUUAUCGCUGAAAGAUGAGCUCGCGUCUGAUUAGCUAGUUGGUAAGGUAACGGCUUACCAAGGCGACGAUCAGUAGCCGGACUGAGAGGUUGAUCGGCCACAUUGGGACUGAGACACGGCCCAGACUCCUACGGGAGGCAGCAGUGGGGAAUAUUGCACAAUGGAGGAAACUCUGAUGCAGCGAUGCCGCGUGAGGGAAGAAGGUUUUAGGAUUGUAAACCUCUGUCUUCAGGGACGAAAAAAGACGGUACCUGAGGAGGAAGCUCCGGCUAACUACGUGCCAGCAGCCGCGGUAAUACGUAGGGAGCGAGCGUUGUCCGGAAUUACUGGGUGUAAAGGGAGCGUAGGCGGGAUCGCAAGUCAGAUGUGAGAACUAUGGGCUUAACCCAUAAACUGCAUUUGAAACUGUGGUUCUUGAGUGAAGUAGAGGUAAGCGGAAUUCCUAGUGUAGCGGUGAAAUGCGUAGAUAUUAGGAGGAACAUCAGUGGCGAAGGCGGCUUACUGGGCUUUAACUGACGCUGAGGCUCGAAAGCGUGGGGAGCAAACAGGAUUAGAUACCCUGGUAGUCCACGCCGUAAACGAUGAUUACUAGGUGUGGGGGGACUGACCCCUUCCGUGCCGCAGCAAACGCAAUAAGUGAUCCACCUGGGGAGUACGACCGCAAGGUUGAAACUCAAAGGAAUUGACGGGGGCCCGCACAAGCAGUGGAGUAUGUGGGUUAAUUCGAAGCAACGCGAAGAACCUUACCAGGUCUUGACAUCGUAUGCAUAGCUCAGAGAUGAGUGAAAUCUCUUCGGAGACAUAUAGACAGGUGGUGCAUGGUUGUCGUCAGCUCGUGUCUGAGAUGUUGGGUUAAGUCCCGCAACGAGCGCAACCCUUACUGUUAGUUGCUACGCAAGAGCACUCUAGCAGGACUGCCGUUGACAAAACGGAGGAAGGUGGGGAUGACGUCAAAUCAUCAUGCCCCUUAUGACCUGGGCCUCACACGUACUACAAUGGCUGUCAACAGAGGGAAGCAAAGCCGCGAGGUGGAGCGAACCCCUAAAAGCAGUCUUAGUUCGGAUUGUAGGCUGCAACCCGCCUACAUGAAGUCGGAAUUGCUAGUAAUCGCAGAUCAGCAUGCUGCGGUGAAUACGUUCCCGGGCCUUGUACACACCGCCCGUCACGCCAUGGGAGUCGGUAACACCCGAAGCCUGUAGUCUAACCGCAAGGAGGACGCAGUCGAAGGUGGGAUUGAUGACUGGGGUGAAGUCGUAACAAGGUA
rnacentral:rRNA from 1 species